rnacentral:rRNA from 1 species
CCUACGGGUGGCAGCAGUGGGGAAUAUUGGACAAUGGGGGGAACCCUGAUCCAGCCAUGCCGCGUGUGUGAAGAAGGCCCUCGGGUUGUAAAGCACUUUCAGUGAGGAAGAACGCCUGGUGGUUAAUACCCAUCAGGAAAGACAUCACUCACAGAAGAAGCACCGGCUAACUCCGUGCCAGCAGCCGCGGUAAUACGGAGGGUGCGAGCGUUAAUCGGAAUUACUGGGCGUAAAGCGCGCGUAGGUGGCUUGAUAAGCCGGUUGUGAAAGCCCCGGGCUCAACCUGGGAACGGCAUCCGGAACUGUCAAGCUAGAGUGCAGGAGAGGAAGGUAGAAUUCCCGGUGUAGCGGUGAAAUGCGUAGAGAUCGGGAGGAAUACCAGUGGCGAAGGCGGCCUUCUGGACUGACACGGACACUGAGGUGCGAAAGCGUGGGUAGCAAACAGGAUUAGAUACCCCGGUAGGUC